rnacentral:rRNA from 1 species
UACGGAGGGUGCAAACGUUGCUCGGAAUCAUUGGGCGUAAAGCGCACGUAGGCGGCUCGUUAAGUCGGAUGUGAAAGCCCUCGGCUCAACCGAGGAAGUGCAUACGAAACUGGCGAGCUUGAAUAUGGAAGAGGGUCGCGGAAUUCCCGGUGUAGAGGUGAAAUUCGUAGAUAUCGGGAGGAACACCAGUGGCGAAGGCGGCGACCUGGGCCAAUAUUGACGCUGAGGAGCGAAAGCCAGGGGAGCAAACGGG